CUAUAUAUGGAUAGAAAAGAAACGCUGCAUGGCUAUUGGCUGUGCAGCUGAAGUUCGCGUUGUUGAUUGGCUGAGUAAUACUGCGCUAGAGCAAGACCAGCCUCGACGAUGUUCCAGAAAUCUCCCUGAGAUUGAUCAUUGAGCUUUAACUCCUGAGCAAUUCCUGAGCAUUACGAGCACUACAAACUCUCCACUGCACAAUAUCCAACCAUCUAUUCAGAGCACAACCUGUAUUUUUCACUGCAGUUGAACGCCUGGUUUUGGAUUUUCUCAAAGUAGCAGUUGUUCUGUAUUGUUCUCACCCCUCCCCCACCCCACCCUACCCCCACCCACAAAAAAAAAAAACAAAAAAAAAAAAACAUUAUUUUCAAUACUAAGUUGAUCAUUUGUGUUCAAUUACUACUGUUCUUUUAAAAGUUCAGUCCUUUUAAUUCUAGGUUAAUAAUUUGUUUAAUAUUCUAUUUUUUUUUCUUUGUAUAAAAAAGUGUUUCCAUUAAUAUUAGAUUCAUAAUUUGUUUUAUCUGCUACUGUUCUUUUUAUUGAAAAAGUUUAUUACAGUAGCUGUAUUUGUAAGUUGUUGUUUUUCUUGUCAAUUAACUUGUUUUUUUCUUGAGAAUACUUUGCAGGUUGCAUCGCUUCAGCAUUUCGUGACGAUGCCUCGGAAAGGAAGGAGAUCCCGGGCUCAAAAAGUUCGUUGGACAAAGUUAGACCUGACAGGACAGACGAGCGUCAAUAAAGGAGUUGCUCAGGUUUCUGAUGGACAGCAGUACGAAGAUGGCAACUACACAUCUAGAGUUAUAUCCGUGCAGGCGUCUCACUGCCAGAGUGAUGCAAGGUAUGAUGUUUUCUCACGAAACACUCAGUGCACAUGUGUAGCGCUGACAUUCCUUGCGUACCACAGUGAGGGAACUUCUUUCGAACAGCCUGAUCUUGACAGGGUGCUAGAGGAAGGGGAUGCUCUGUAUGUCGGCAUUAAAAUGCAGCUUAUGGCUGAAGGAAGAUUCCGACAGGAUCUUUUAAGCAUGGCAGAAGUACCUGUGAGCAUCUCGACUUCUAACCACAACUACAGCGUCCAAAAGUCAGAAGUUGUGAUGGGGUAUCUAAGAGACAGAGGAACACAGGAAAUGGACGCAUGGUGGAUUCCUCUUGAUGAAAGACUUCAGUGUCUCUCAACAGAUGUCAGCCAUGCACUGCUUAUUGUUUCUCCAGAGUGCUUUGCUGUGUUCAGAGACAGAUCUGGAAGAUAUGGAUAUUUUGAUUCACAUUCCAGAACUGCUGAAGGUUGGCCACAUCCUACUGGUGACGGAGC